UACGAAGGGGGCUAGCGUUGCUCGGAAUCACUGGGCGUAAAGGGCGCGCAGGCGGUCUUGCAAGUCAGGCGUGAAAGCCCCGGGCUCAACCUGGGAAUUGCGCGCGAAACGGGGGGGCUUGAGUUCGGGAGAGGAGCGUGGAAUUCCCAGUGUAGAGGUGAAAUUCGUAGAUAUUGGGAAGAACACCGGUGGCGAAGGCGGCGCUCUGGACCGAGACUGACGCUGAGGCGCGAAAGCGUGGGUAGCGAACAGG
rnacentral:rRNA from 1 species